AAUAAACGCUGGCGGCGUGCCUAACACAUGCAAGUCGAGCGAGAAAGCUCCUUCGGGAGUUAGUAAAGCGGCGAACGGGUGAGCAACACGUGAGAAUCUACCCUUUAGUGAAGAAUACCCUCGAGAAAUCGAGGCUAAUACUGCAUACGUCCCUUCGGGGAGAAAGAUGGCCUCUUUGCUAUCGCUAAAGGAUGAGCUUGCGUACUAUUAGCUAGUUGGCGGGGUAAAGGCCCACCAAGGCAAUGAUGGUUAACCGGCCUGAGAGGGUGUACGGUCACACUGGAACUUAGACACGGUCCAGACUCCUACGGGAGGCAGCAGUGAGGAAUCUUGCGCAAUGGGCGAAAGCCUGACGCAGCGACGCCGCGUGGAGGAUGACGGUUUUCGGAUUGUAAACUCCUGUUAAGCGGGAAGAAAGCCUUGUUUCUAAUACAAGCAAGGUAUGACGGUACCGCUAGAGAAAGCACCGGCUAACUUCGUGCCAGCAGCCGCGG
rnacentral:rRNA from 1 species